UACGAAGGGGGCUAGCGUUGUUCGGAAUUACUGGGCGUAAAGCGCGUGUAGGCGGGUCUUUAAGUCAGGGGUGAAAUGCCAAGGCUCAACCUUGGAACUGCCUUUGAUACUGGAGAUCUUGAGUCCGGGAGAGGUGAGUGGAACUGCGAGUGUAGAGGUGAAAUUCGUAGAUAUUCGCAAGAACACCGGUGGCGAAGGCGGCGACCUGGUCCUUGACUGACGCUGAGGCGCGAGAGCGUGGGGAGCAAACAGG
rnacentral:rRNA from 1 species